rnacentral:rRNA from 1 species
UACGUAGGGUCCAAGCGUUAUCCGGAAUCACUGGGCGUAAAGCGUGCGUAGGUGGAUUGUUAAGUGCGGUGCGAAAUCCUGUGGCUCAACCAUAUGGACUGUAUCGCAUACUGGCAAUCUAGAGGACAUGAGAGGCAAGUGGAAUUCCCGGUGUAGCGGUGAAAUGCGCAGAUAUCGGGAAGAACACCCGUGGCGAAGGCGGCUCUCUGGGACGGUACUGACGCUGAGACGCGAAAGCGUGGGGAGCGAACAGG